rnacentral:tRNA from 1 species
GUGGGUAUAGCUUAGUGGUAGAAAACAUGCUUAGCAUGCACGAGGCCCUGGGUUCAAUCCCCAGUACUGCCA